rnacentral:misc_RNA from 1 species
GGAUCAGCAGCAUAAUCAGAAUGAAAAAAAAAAGGAGCACCCCAAGCCUCUUUCACUGUAUACAUGCAUAGGGGAUUCUUUUCGUUCAUCAAUCAUAUGGUUGGCAGCCUCUAGUUACAGAGAUUUACAGGGAUCGCAUUACCACAGAGAAGCAGAAAACAAAACAAAACAAAAAACGGAGUCUAAGCAGACAGCAAGAGCUGAAAUUUACAGCAAAAGAGCGCCCUUUUUUUUGUCAAUGGAGAAAAAAAAACAGCGCGUUCGGGAGCGUAGACCCGCUGAUCCAUCCAUAUCCACUGAAUGAUCAGGGUCAGGGCAUGACGGUGGCGGAGUCGAGGCGGUCGAGGCGGCUCCACAGCCGCCCGAGCGCGGGCGGCGGCGCCCGGUGGCAGGCGACGGCGAGGAAGAUCCGCUGCAGGCCGUCGACGAGGCGCACCAUCCGGCGCGCCGGCGCCAGCAGCAGCGUCAAGGGUAGCACCCAGAUGCCCAGAUCCAGGAUCAGCAUCCUUGAAUCCUCGAUCGAUGGGUGGGAGGGACAGCCGGCCCACGGCACCGCGUCCCGACUGCCGGUCGAUCGUUUCUUCACCACGGGAACGAACUCGCUCGCUCGCGCGCGCGCCCCGCCCUCUCCUAUGAGGAAACAGGGGGGGUUGUUAAAUGGAGAUGAGGUUGGCGUCGCCGCUAUGAUAUGAUGGCGGCGAGGCGAGCGUGAUUGAUUGAUUAGAGGAGAUGUGUAGUACUAUAAUAAAUGAUGACGAUGAUGAUGCUCUGCUGCUGCUGGUGGCAGCGCGGGAGAGGUUCGCCUGCGGGGGCGGCGACGUGCUACCUGCCUCG